ACUACGAAACUGCCAUUGAUACUGUAGGGCUUGAAUUAUUGUGAAGUAACUAGAAUAUGUAGUGUAGCGGUGAAAUGCUUAGAUAUUACAUGGAAUACCACUUGCGAAGGCAGGUUACUAACAAUAUAUUGACGCUGAUGGACGAAAGCGUGGGUAGCGAACAGGAUUAGAUACCCUGGUAGUCCACGCCGUAAACGAUGGAUACUAGCUGUUGGGGGCAACUUCAGUGGCUAAGCGAAAGUGAUAAGUAUCCCACCUGGGGAGUACGAACGCAAGUUUGAAACUCAAAGGAAUUGACGGGGGCCCGCACAAGCGGUGGAGCAUGUGGUUUAAUUCGAUGAUACGCGAGGAACCUUACCAAGGCUUAAAUGUAGAUUGACAGGACAGGAAACUGUUUUUUCUUCGGACAAUUUACAAGGUGCUGCAUGGUUGUCGUCAGCUCGUGCCGUGAGGUGUCAGGUUAAGUCCUAUAACGAGCGCAACCCCUGUUGUUAGUUGCCAGCGAGUCAUGUCGGGAACUCUAACGAGACUGCCAGUGCAAACUGUGAGGAAGGUGGGGACUGACGUCAAAUCAUCACGGCCCUUACGCCUUGGG
rnacentral:rRNA from 1 species